rnacentral:rRNA from 1 species
AGUGAACGCUGGCGGUAGGCCUAACACAUGCAAGUCGAACGGCAGCACAGUAAGAGCUUGCUCUUACGGGUGGCGAGUGGCGGACGGGUGAGGAAUACAUCGGAAUCUACUUUUUCGUGGGGGAUAACGUAGGGAAACUUACGCUAAUACCGCAUACGACCUACGGGUGAAAGCAGGGGAUCUUCGGACCUUGCGCGAUUGAAUGAGCCGAUGUCGGAUUAGCUAGUUGGCGGGGUAAAGGCCCACCAAGGCGACGAUCCGUAGCUGGUCUGAGAGGAUGAUCAGCCACACUGGAACUGAGACACGGUCCAGACUCCUACGGGAGGCAGCAGUGGGGAAUAUUGGACAAUGGGCGCAAGCCUGAUCCAGCCAUACCGCGUGGGUGAAGAAGGCCUUCGGAUUGUAAAGCCCUUUUGUUGGGAAAGAAAAGCAGCAGGUUAAUACCCCGCUGUUCUGACGGUACCCAAAGAAUAAGCACCGGCUAACUUCGUG